UAGGGAAUCUUCGGCAAUGGGGGGAACCCUGACCGAGCAACGCCGCGUGAGUGAAGAAGGUUUUCGGAUCGUAAAGCUCUGUUGUUAAGGAAGAACGAGUGUGAGAAUGGAAAGUUCAUGCUGUGACGGUACUUAACCAGAAAGCCACGGCUAACUACGUGCCAGCAGCCGCGGUAAUACGUAGGUGGCAAGCGUUGUCCGGAUUUAUUGGGCGUAAAGCGAGCGCAGGCGGUCAAUUAAGUCUGAUGUGAAAGCCCCCGGCUCAACCGGGGAGGGUCAUUGGAAACUGGUUGACUUGAGUGCAGAAGAGGAGAGUGGAAUUCCAUGUGUAGCGGUGAAAUGCGUAGAUAUAUGGAGGAACACCAGUGGCGAAGGCGACUUUCUGGUCUGUAACUGACGCUGAUGUGCGAAAGCGUGGGGAUCAAACAGG
rnacentral:rRNA from 1 species